CACACACACACUUUCCUGGGGUUAGAAUAGCAAAGGGGCUGCAGGGAAGACAACCAGAUUACCAAAAAAAGGGAGAGCACAUCAGCAUUAGGAGAUAUUUCUUAAAUCUCUGUUGCACUGAAAAGUGCUUCUCCUCUGGAUGACUGUUCUGUGCCAAAAUACCAAAGAGAUGGGCUUCUGGGUUUCAGAUGAAACUUGAUUUCUACGGUUAGAUUGAAGGUGAGGGCGGAUGUGGCUCAGAGGCAAUGUCAGGAAAGAGGAAGCAUAGUACACACCUCCUCUUUCCUCAAGUUGGUGUUGGAAUCUGUCCCACUUUGAACUCAAGUGGAAUUCAGACAUGUCAGGCCUUUCCCGGACAGAAGGAGGUCUGCCCCACCAAGGGCUGGUUCCCUGAAUUCUUUGGAACAGCUGUAGCAAAACUGGAAUGUGCUACAGCUCUUUGGAGGCUGCAGACCCACUGAAAACGUCACUGAAGAUAUUGCCGGGGCCACUGAUGACUUUAUAACUUCACCAAAGGAAUUAACCUCUAGUUAUUAGUAAGGAGGUUUUGUAUACCAGUGAAACUACUGACAUCACCUGGUCUGAAGGACCCCAUGAAGAGAUGACUCACCAAAGAAUGCAGUUUCCACAUCCUGAUGAUUUCAUCCCCAUUACCUGACAAAACAAUGACCCCAAUUUCCCAGCCCCUCACCCUCCAUGACCCCCUGAAAAACGUCAGCUAGAAACUUCUCGGAGAGAUGGAUUUAAGGGUCUCCUCCCAUCCCCUUGCUUGGUGCCCUGUGAUCAUUACACUCUUUCUCUGCUGCAAACCCUGCUAUCUCUGUACCUGUCUGUCACUGCACAGCAGGCAUAUGAAUCUGUUGGUCCUAUAACAUCGCAACGUAACAUUCCCAUGUGGAGGGGGAUUACACUCCAUGUUCUUAUCACAGCAAAACAUAUGUCACACGUAGCAAUCUAUGUAAGUGUUUGGAAUCAUUUCAGAGCUACAUAACAGGCACCAUUGUGAAAUGCAGGAAACUCUGAAUUUCCAGUUUUGAAAAAAUUGUAUUGGAGCUCUGUCUCUGCUACCCACUAACUGUGAUUUUGGUUCCUUAAUAUCUCUGAACCUUGCUUUUCCUCUGUAAAAAGGUGAUAACAACACCAACCUCAUGGGAUUACUGUCUGGAUUAAAUGACAUAAUGUACAAAAGCACUGUAAAUAUCUCUGAAUACAUAGGCACAUAUUUGAAAGUUGUUCCUUAAAUGUGAAAUUUUAAAACCAGGAAGCUAAUUAUAGAUAAAAUAUUGAAAGAAAAGUUAUAAAGGAACAUUUAAAAACUAAAAUUUCAUUAGAAAGAUACAUUUUAGCUUAAGGUAUAUUUGAAGAUAAAUAUUACCAUCACUGGGUGCCAGCAUACUUAUAACAAUCUUACAUUUUUCACCUUACAGUUUUUUAAUUUAAUUAUAAAAGUAACACAUACUUGUCAUAGGAAAUUAGGAAAAUACAGAAACAUGAAAAGGAGAAAAAUCCCAUCUCACAGAGAUAAGUCCUUUCAACUUUUUAAUAUAUUUCUUCCAGUUAGCAUUCUGGCUUUCAGCUUUUCUCUCCCUCCCUCUCAAAACAUUUAGUGUAAAUUAUGUCAUUAAGGCCAGGUGUGGUGGCUUAUGCCUGUAAUUCCAGCACUUCGGGAGGCCAAGGUAGGAAGAUCUUGGGAACAAGUGUUUGAGAUCAGCCUGGGCAAGAGAGUGAGACCGUUUCUACAGAAAUUUUUUAAAAAUAUUAGCUGGACAUGGUGGCAUGUGCUUAUAAUCCUAGCUGCUUGGGAGGCUGAGAUGAGAGGUUGACUUGAGCCCAGGAAUUUGAGGCUGCUGUGAGCUAUGAUCAUGCCACUGCACUCAAAGCCUGGGCUGUAGAGUAAGACUCUCUGUCUAAAAAAUAAUAAUAAUAAAAAGUAUAUCACUAAUAUAUCUUUCAAAAGUAAUAGUAACUUAACACUUAUUAUUGUUAGAUAGUUUCCAACUUUUGAAUACCAUUACAAUGACCUUGGGUUCCAUAAGUGCAUACCCGAAUUGGUACAUUCUGAAUAAAUCAUAUUUGCCUACUUACUCAUUUGUCUCCCCAGCUAGACAAUAAGCUUUGUGAGGAACACUUCCUUUUUUGCCAUUGUUAUGUAGUGCCUAAUAUCUUGCUUGGCACACAGUAUCUCUACAUAAAAAUAUGUGCUGUGGGCCGGGCGCGGUGGCUCAUGCCUGUAAUCCCAGCACUUUGGAAGGCCGAGGCGGGUGGAUCAUCUGAGGUCGGGAGUUCGAGACCAGCCUGACCAACAUGGAGAAACCCCGUCUCUACUAAAAAUACAAAAUUAGCCGGGCAUGGUGGCACAAACCUGUACUCCCAGCUACUCGGGGGGCUGAGGCAGGAGAAUCGCUUAAACCCGGG
rnacentral:lncRNA from 10 species